rfam:Erinaceus europaeus unplaced genomic scaffold scaffold00802, whole genome shotgun sequence
AGAGUGAAUGGCGCCUACUGGCCUCGUGGUGUUCCAGGCCUAGUCGCCAUACUCCCGCCCACCAAAUGCUUCCUCCCACUCCAGCAGCACAAUCUCUUCCGGCCCCUA